GACGAACGCUGGCGGCGUGCUUAACACAUGCAAGUCGAACGGAAAGGCCCUGCUUGCAGGGUACUCGAGUGGCGAACGGGUGAGUAACACGUGGGUGAUCUGCCCUUCACUUCGGGAUAAGCCUGGGAAACUGGGUCUAAUACCGGAUAGGAGCCAUUUUUAGUGUGAUGGUUGGAAAGUUUUUUCGGUGUUGGAUGAGCUCGCGGCCUAUCAGCUUGUUGGUGGGGUAAUGGCCUACCAAGGCGGCGACGGGUAGCCGGCCUGAGAGGGUGGACGGCCACAUUGGGACUGAGAUACGGCCCAGACUCCUACGGGAGGCAGCAGUGGGGAAUAUUGCACAAUGGGCGCAAGCCUGAUGCAGCGACGCCGCGUGGGGGAUGACGGCCUUCGGGUUGUAAACUCCUUUCGCUAGGGACGAAGCUUUUUGUGACGGUACCUAGAUAAGAAGCACCGGCUAACUACGUG
rnacentral:rRNA from 1 species